CUCUCAAUUUUUUGAGUAGAUAUCUAUACCACUUAGGUACACUUCCUGUGUUCCUUCCUGGUCUAUAUAGUUACCAAAACUUUUUAUGUGGUCUCUUGUCCUGUGUUUCCGUAUGGACUCACUCCGUCUGCUUUUUCAUAUUAUGGGACUCUAAAUUGGAUCUCUCUUUUUUCAUUUAAAUGGACUACGCUUUUCCGGUGGUCCUUAACAUUCGAAGUUUAGUCCAAAAAAAUGGUGUAG